GGGCAGACCAGGGACAGGGCCCAGCUCUUCCUUGAGGAUCCAUCUGACGCCUGCUGCUCCUCCCGGGGCUGCAGCCUCUGCAGCUGGGAGACUUCACCCCACUCAGGAUGGUGCUGACCAGGGACUGCACCACCUGCUCCGCAAAUCCAGCUCUGUCGCCUGCUGGUGACUUCAUCUCUGUGUGUGGCCCUCCAGCUCUGCACCACAUGGGCAGCAGUGGUGUCUAUCACACAGGAAAGGCUGGGGUGAAGACAACCCACAAGGUAGGAAGCCUCUCAGCUUCCAGCGCUGAGCCUCCACCCGCAGCCGCGCUGGCCGUUCUGUGUGAACAGAAAGAAGCGGCCGUCCUGGCCCUGUGCAAUCAUCUCUCAGGAGCUCACUGUGGCUGCACACUCAGGAUCACUGAAAUCAAACUUACGGUGCACUGUCUGGACAUGUGACAUGCACCACUUGCACAACAGCACAGAUCUGAAACUCCCCUCUCCAGGGGCUGCCUGAAGUCAGUCCCUCCUCCUGCAUUCACCCCGCCAACCUUGCUUCUUAAGUCAUUCCUGAAAACUACUUAGGCUUAGGGCAAUUUGUUCACAAACUGAUCCACAGAAAGCCUCCUGGCCUCUUUCCACCGGUAUUUCAGCAGGCCUGUAUCUUUCCACUCUUCACACAUCAGCCUUGUACCGUACGACGAUGUCUCUCUCAAAAGCAAGAGAUCACAUGUACGAUGGUGACCAGGAGCCGAUUCCUACUUCAUUUACUGCUUUUCUUAAUAGCAUCAUUUUCUCUUGGACUUGAUUUAACCUUGUGUUUUGC
rnacentral:lncRNA from 1 species